ACCGGCGGAAGGGUGAGGAAUACAUGCGAACGUGCCCCGAGGUGGGGGAUAGGCGUGGGAAACUGCGCGUAAUACCCCAUGUGCUCUAUGGAGGAAAGCUUCGGCGCCUUGGGAGCGGCACAUGUCCUAUCAGGUAGUUGGCGGGGUAAUGGCCCACCAAGCCUUCGACGGGUAGCAGGUGUGAGAGCACGGCCUGCCACAUCGGGACUGAGACACUGCCCGGACUCCUACGGGAGGCUGCAGUAACGAAUAUUCCGCAAUGCGCGAAAGCGUGACGGAGCGACGCCGCGUGCAGGAUGAAGCGGCUUUGCCGUGUAAACUGCUGUCAGGGGCUACUAAUACUGAAGAGCCCCAGAGGAGGGCCGGCUAAUCCUGUGCCAGCAGCCGCGGUAAUACAGGAGGCCCGAGCGUUAAUCGGAAUCACUGGGCUUAAAGGGUGCGUAGGCGGGCCCGUAAGUGCGUUGUGAAAUCCCCCGGCUCAACCGGGGAACUGCAGCGCAGACUGCGGGUCUUGAGGAAGCUAGGGGCCGCUGGAACGCUCGGUGGAGCGGUGAGAUGCGUUGAUAUCGAGCGGAACGCCGAUGGUGAAGACAGGCGGCUGGGGCUUUCCUGACGCUGAGGCACGAAAGCGUGGGGAUCAAACAGGAUUAGAUACCCUGGUAGUCCUCGCUGUAAACGAUGUGCACUAGAUCGAU
rnacentral:rRNA from 1 species